rnacentral:rRNA from 1 species
GAUGAACGCUAGCGGCAGGCUUAACACAUGCAAGUCGAACGGUAACAUAGAAAAGCUUGCUUUUCUGAUGACGAGUGGCGAACGGGUGCGUAACACGUAUGCAACUUACCCUCUACAGGGGGAUAGCCCAGAGAAAUCUGGAUUAAUACCCCAUAAUAAUAAGAAUUCGCAUGUUUUCUUAUUUAAAACUCCGGUGGUAGAGGAUGGGCAUGCGGUCUAUUAGUUUGUUGGUGAGGUAACGGCUCACCAAGACUACGAUAGAUAGGGGUUCUGAGAGGAUGAUCCCCCACACUGGUACUGAGACACGGACCAGACUCCUACGGGAGGCAGCAGUGAGGAAUAUUGCGCAAUGGAGGAAACUCUGACGCAGCCAUGCCGCGUGAAGGAAGACGGCCCUACGGGUUGUAAACUUCUUUUAUAUGCCAAGAAACCCUUCUACGUGUAGAAGGCUGACGGUAGCAUAUGAAUAAGCACCGGCUAACUCCG